rnacentral:lncRNA from 1 species
GUCGGAUGAACUCUAAGUAUAUAUAUUAGAGUUCAAAUGAACUUGAUAUCAUGUGAUUGAAUUCUAAGUAUAUAGUUUAGAACUCUAUCGUUAAACUGAGCAACCCAUAUCCAAUCGAUCGCUAUGUCGUUAAACUGAGCAAUCCAUCUCCAAUCGAUCGCCAUGUCGUUAAACUGAGCAAUCCAUCUCCAAUCGACCGCCAUGUCGUUAAACUGAGCAACCCAUAUCCAAUCGACCACCAUGUCGUUAAAUUGAGCAACCCAUCUCCAAUCGACCGCCAUGUAUGGGCACCAGACUACCCAAAGAUCUAUUUUGCCAAUGACAGAAUGCUAACUCACCUUAGGGUCGAUUAGUGCGGCAAUUUCGAUUGCUUCUCAAAGACAAAAUAAAUCCAUGUUCACUAACAUCCAAUCUACCGCCACGUCGUUAAACUGAGCAACCCAUAUCCAAUCGACCGCCAUGUCGUUAAACUGAGCAACCCAUAUCCAAUCGACCGCCAUGUCGUUAAUUACAUCACUUUUUACAGAAUAAAACCUACUACAUCACUAUAAAGAUGUACAUCUGAAAAAGAAAAUAUACUACAGAUAAAUAUAAGAAAAAUUUUUUUGACAUCUUUUUAAUAUAAAAUUGUCUUAUUAUAUAUCCUAAUUCGCUAGAUUUCUCACCAUUUCACA